GAGUUGCACUCGUUUCAGCAACAGCUGACGUGGACGUAGAAGACGAUGACUUUCCGGACGGCAGCGGGGAAUCCCCAGCGUCUGAUGGAGGCAGCUCAGCGUUGGACUCAGAUGGACUCGUUUUUCUGUGUUCUCUGCUCACAUGGAUAUUUGCAUGAAGAAUGAUCGACUCGUCGGGCUGUUUGGAUUUGGACCCACCUGAGACCGACCCGGCUCUCAACAGACUCUGUUUAUCUUUAAUAGACCGACAUGUGCAGUAAAAGCACCAGAAUAAAGAAUGUAUGAAGGUCGUGCUCUGUUCAGCUGUAACUAAUGUUUUAUUUAUUUAGUUUCCUGUUUGUCAUAGUCAAAAUCAACCUCUUCACUGUCUGUCACAUGUCAGCGUGUUGUCAUUAAAUAGUUCUUCAAUCAACCAGUGUCCACUAUAAUAGUAGCCUGCUUUUAAUAAUACAACACCAGAAGCAGCGUGCUGCUGAUGUGACAGUUUGCUCUGGAUGUGGUUAAACAGUUCCUGUUCUGUGACGUGAGCUCAGACGCUGUGACAGACGACAGAACGGUGGUUGGAGGAGAUCACAGAGAGGCAGGAGCUGGAGGCCAUGACCAGGGUUCAUGUGCUCAUCGGUGCUGCUGUAUAUGAUGCUGAUUCAUUGCCUGGCAGUGGUGAUGGAUACCACAACCACAACCCCACAGAUCCCUCAGAUCACGGCUCGUGCUCCUCCUCAGCUGCCACGGACAACAGCAUUAUCAGCUACAGGCUGCUCUACGUCACUACGGCCAUCUGCGCGUGGCAUAUUAAUUACAACAAACGUAGUGGUGUCACCAAGAAGACAAAAUCUGAAACGUCACCGUAUCCACAAAUUAAAGCUCUGAUUAAACUUUAAAGUUGAACGAGUAAAAGGUUUGAUUGAACCUUCAAUAAAAUCUGCACACUCACAUACUCGUACA
rnacentral:lncRNA from 1 species